CUACGGGUUGCUGCAGUGGGGAAUAUUGGACAAUGGGGGAAACCCUGAUCCAGCAAUGCCGCGUGUGUGAAGAAGGCCUGCGGGUUGUAAAGCACUUUCGGUUGGGAGGACUGCUUCUAGCACUAAUAUUGUUGGAAGUUGACGUUACCUUCAGAAGAAGCACCGGCUAACUCCGUGCCAGCAGCCGCGGUAAUGACGGAGGGUGCAAGCGUUAAUCGGAAUUACUGGGCGUAAAGCGCGCGUAGGCGGCUAGGUCAGUCGGGCGUGAAAGCCCCGGGCUUAACCUGGGAACUGCAUCCGAUACUGUCUAGCUUGAGUACAGGAGAGGAGAGUGGAAUUCCACAUGUAGCGGUGAAAUGCGUAGAUAUGUGGAGGAACACCAAUGGCGAAGGCAGCUCUCUGGCCUGAUACUGACGCUGAGGUGCGAAAGCGUGGGGAGCAAACAGGAUUAGAUACCCUAGUAGUC
rnacentral:rRNA from 1 species